rnacentral:rRNA from 1 species
GACGAACGCUGGCGGCGUGCCUAAUACAUGCAAGUAGAACGCUGAAGGAGGAGCUUGCUUCUCUGGAUGAGUUGCGAACGGGUGAGUAACGCGUAGGUAACCUGCCUGGUAGCGGGGGAUAACUAUUGGAAACGAUAGCUAAUACCGCAUAAGAGUAGAUGUUGCAUGACAUUUGCUUAAAAGGUGCAAUUGCAUCACUACCAGAUGGACCUGCGUUGUAUUAGCUAGUUGGUGGGGUAACGGCUCACCAAGGCGACGAUACAUAGCCGACCUGAGAGGGUGAUCGGCCACACUGGGACUGGGACACGGCCCAGACUCCUACGGGAGGCAGCAGUAGGGAAUCUUCGGCAAUGGACGGAAGUCUGACCGAGCAACGCCGCGUGAGUGAAGAAGGGUUUCGGAUCGUAAAGCUCUGUUGUAAGAGAAGAACGAGUGUGAGAGUGGAAAGUUCACACUGUGACGGUAUCUUAACAGAAAGGGACGGCUAACUACGUG